UUUAGAAAUAUAAUUUACAAAAUGCUGAUUACAAAAUAUACAUACUCUGUUUUAUUCAAAAUUAAAACUGUGAAAGGAUUUAGAGAAAAUAUUCCCUUGGCCUUAUGUAGAAUAGUCAGACAAUUUUGUGGCUUUUUUAUUGGUAACAUCCACAGCUAAGUGAUAACUAAAUGUUCCUAUUCUUCUAGUUGACGGGCAGUAAAUAUUCAAGACAAUGAUGAGGGCAUCAUCCAGUGUGAUAUUCCGGAUGGAAGUCCACACCACGUAAGUUAGUGUCCCUCUUGUCUCUCACAUGAGCUGAAUUUUCAGGAAAGCAGAGAAGUCAGGCAAUCAGCCAACGGUCUG
rnacentral:lncRNA from 1 species